AAGUCGUAACAAGGUUUCCGUAGGUGAACCUGCGAAGGGUAACACGUAUGUUCACCCGUUUUCUUAUAACCACCGCUGGAAAACUAUGUCUUCCCGCAAAAGUACCCGCUGAGAACUUCCAGAGCUGGAAUACCCGAACAACUGUUGACCAUGGAUAUCUUGGCCGUU
rnacentral:misc_RNA from 1 species